rnacentral:rRNA from 1 species
UACGAAGGGGGCUAGCGUUGCUCGGAAUUACUGGGCGUAAAGGGAGCGUAGGCGGACAUUUAAGUCAGAGGUGAAAUCCCGGAGCUUAACUUCGGAACUGUCUUUGAUACUGGGUGUCUUGAGUGUGAGAGAGGUAUGUGGAACUCCGAGUGUAGAGGUGAAAUUCGUAGAUAUUCGGAAGAACACCAGUGGCGAAGGCGACAUACUGGCUCAUUACUGACGCUGAGGCUCGAAAGCGUGGGGAGCAAACAGG